GUAGGGAAAAGGCUGCCUAUGGAAAGGUACCUUGCUGAAAUCUAGAAGGGUAGCAAAUCGAUAGUUGUGGGCACUUUGCAGCAAGUUAGCUUUCCUCAUUACUGAAUCAGGUAAAAGGACACAAUAUACUAGCCUUUCAUUGAGUAGGCUGGUCUCAUUUUUUUAAUCUUCAGUUAGAGUGGGUUGAUCUUAAGUAGUUUUGUUCUGAGCUAAACUGAACUCCUGUAUGAUUCGUGUGCACAUUUUAUUGAUUGUUGGGUUCAAGAAUUUACAAAAAGACAAUUUAGGAUCAAAA